rnacentral:lncRNA from 1 species
AUGCAGCGUGACGGCCACAGCCCGGGUAGCUGGCGUCUGAGUGUCGCAGGGAUUUGGUGUGACGGCCACAGCCCGGGUAGCUGGCGUCUGAGUGUCACAGGGAUGCGGCGUGACGGCCAUAGCCCGGGUAGCUGGCGUCUGAGUGUCGCAGGGAUGCGGUGUAGCUGGCGUCUGAGUGUCACAGGGAUGCGGUGUGACGGCCACAGCCCGGGUAGCUGGCGUCUGAGUGUCGCAGGGAUGCGGUGUAGCUGGCGUCUGAGUGUCGCAGGGAUGCGGUGUAGCUGGCGUCUGAGUGUCACAGGGAUGCGGUGUGACAGCCAUAGCCAGGGCAGCUGGCGUCCUGAGUGUGUUGCAGAGGAUCUGGGUAUGGCUGAAAGUACUGGAGUGUCACAGGGAUCUUGAGUGUAAGC